UGCUGCUCUUGGAUGUCACUGCCCUCCCACCCCAGUGAGACAGAUCUUCCCUGCUGGGCUGGUCUUGACAACAAAUUCAAGAAGUGUUCAGUAACCACCAACGUAUGACUUACGUUCUAUAUAUCCUUCCAGAGAUAUGAUGUCAAGUUCCAAAGGUUUGCUAAAGUUGGCAACAUGGAUCUUCCUUCUCAGAGAUGGAAGCCAGAUGAUGAACCUGAAGAGGACUGAAGAAACAAGAUCUCUCUUCUCUUCUAUUCUUGCCAACUCAGUUCCAACUUGAAAGAUCUCUACCAAUGAGAGAGUCUCAUUCCAAUGGGCUUUGAGGUUUGGUUUACAUUCCUCCACUCGACCAAAAUUAUUUAUAUUCCCUUGCAAAAAAUCAUCUGGGACAAGUCUAAAAUGCAUAAUUAUAUAAUAAAGAAACAAAC